CAGUCUUUGCGCAGGCACUUUGGUGACUCUAGAUAACCUCGGGCCGAUCACACGUCCCCGUGACGGCGACGACGCAUUCGGAUGCCUGCCCUAUCAACUUUUGAUGGUACUUUAUGCGCCUACCAUGGGGACCACAGAUAAUGGGGAAACAGGGUUCGAUUCCGGAAAGGGAGCCUGAGAAACGGCUACCAUAUCCAAGGAAUGCAGCAGGCGCGCAAACUACCCACUCCUGAUGCGGGGAGGUAGUGA